rnacentral:rRNA from 1 species
GAUGAACGCUGGCGGCGUGCCUAAUACAUGCAAGUCGAGCGAACGGACGAGAAGCUUGCUUCUCUGAUGUUUGCGGCGGACGUGUGAGUAACACGUGGAUAACCUACCUAUAAGACUGGUAUAACUUCGGGAAACCGGAGCUAAUACCGGAUAAUAUUUUGAAGCGCAUGGUUCAAAAGUAAAAUACGGUCUUGCUGUCACUUAUAGAUGGAUCCGCGCUGUAUUAGCUAGUUGGUAAGGUAACGGCUUACCAAGGCAACGAUGCAUAGCCGACCUGAGAGGGUGAUCGGCCACACUGGAACUGAGACACGGUCCAGACUCCUACGGGAGGCAGCAGUAGGGAAUCUUACGCAAAGGGGGAAAGCAUGACGGAGCAACGCCGCGUGAGUGAUGAAGGUCUUCGGAUCGUAAAACUCUGUUAUUAGGGAAGAACAUAUGUGUAAGUAACUGUGCACAUCUUGACGGUAACUAAUCAGAAAGCCACGGCUAACUACGUG